rnacentral:rRNA from 1 species
UUAAGCGACUAAGCGUACACGGUGGAUGCCUAGGCAGUCAGAGGCGAUGAAGGGCGUGCUAAUCUGCGAUAAGCGUCGGUAAGCUGAUAUGAAGCGUUAUACCCGACGAUACCCGAAUGGGGAAACCCAGUGUGUUUCGACACACUAUCAUGACAUGAAUACAUAGUGUCAUGAGGCGAACCGGGGGAACUGAAACAUCUCAGUACCCCGAGGAAAAGAAAUCAACCGAGAUUCCCCCAGUAGCGGCGAGCGAACGGGGAGGAGCCCAGAACCUGAAUCAGUUUGUGUGUUAGUGGAAGCGUCUGGAAAGUCGCACAGUAAAGGGUGAUAGUCCCGUACACAAAAAUGCACAAGUUGUGAGUUCGAUGAGUAGGGCGGGACACGUGACAUCCUGUCUGAAUAUGGGGGGACCAUCCUCCAAGGCUAAAUACUCCUGACUGACCGAUAGUGAACCAGUACCGUGAGGGAAAGGCGAAAAGAACCCCGGCGAGGGGAGUGAAAUAGAACCUGAAACCGUGUACGUACAAGCAGUGGGAGCCUACUCGUUAGGUGACUGCGUACCUUUUGUAUAAUGGGUCAGCGACUUAUAUUCUGUAGCAAGGUUAACCGUAUAGGGGAGCCGCAGGGAAACCGAGUCUUAACUGGGCGUUAAGUUGCAGGGUAUAGACCCGAAACCCGGUGAUCUAGCCAUGGGCAGGUUGAAGGUUGGGUAACACUAACUGGAGGACCGAACCGACUAAUGUUGAAAAAUUAGCGGAUGACUUGUGGCUGGGGGUGAAAGGCCAAUCAAACCGGGAGAUAGCUGGUUCUCCCCGAAAGCUAUUUAGGUAGCGCCUCGUGAAUUCAUCUUCGGGGGUAGAGCACUGUUUCGGCUAGGGGGUCAUCCCGACUUACCAACCCGAUGCAAACUACGAAUACCGAAGAAUGUUAUCACGGGAGACACACGGCGGGUGCUAACGUUCGUCGUGAAGAGGGAAACAACCCAGACCGCCAGCUAAGGUCCCAAAGUCAUGGUUAAGUGGGAAACGAUGUGGGAAGGCACAGACAGCCAGGAUGUUGGCUUAGAAGCAGCCAUCAUUUAAAGAAAGCGUAAUAGCUCACUGGUCGAGUCGGCCUGCGCGGAAGAUGUAACGGGGCUAAACCAUGCACCGAAGCUGCGGCAGCGACGCUUAGGCGUUGUUGGGUAGGGGAGCGUUCUGUAAGCCGUCGAAGGUGGCCUGUGAGGGCUGCUGGAGGUAUCAGAAGUGCGAAUGCUGACAUAAGUAACGAUAAUGCGGGUGAAAAACCCGCACGCCGGAAGACCAAGGGUUCCUGUCCAACGUUAAUCGGGGCAGGGUGAGUCGACCCCUAAGGCGAGGCUGAAAAGCGUAGUCGAUGGGAAACAGGUUAAUAUUCCUGUACUCGGUGUUACUGCGAAGGGGGGACGGAGAAAGCUAGGUUAUCCGGGCGACGGUUGUCCCGGUUUAAGCGUGAAGGUGGAUGACUUUGGUAAAUCCGGGUCGUCAUUAACACUGAGGCGUGAUGACGAGUCACUACGGUGAUGAAGUAACCGAUGCUACGCUUCCAGGAAAAGCCUCUAAGCUCCAGGUAACAUCAAAUCGUACCCCAAACCGACACAGGUGGUCAGGUAGAGAAUACUCAGGCGCUUGAGAGAACUCGGGUGAAGGAACUAGGCAAAAUGGUGCCGUAACUUCGGGAGAAGGCACGCUGAUGGUAGGUGAAGUGACUUGCUCAUGGAGCUGAAAUCAGUCGAAGAUACCAGCUGGCUGCAACUGUUUAAUAAAAACACAGCACUGUGCAAACACGAAAGUGGACGUAUACGGUGUGACGCCUGCCCGGUGCCGGAAGGUUAAUUGAUGGGGUCAGCCGCAAGGCGAAGCUCUUGAUCGAAGCCCCGGUAAACGGCGGCCGUAACUAUAACGGUCCUAAGGUAGCGAAAUUCCUUGUCGGGUAAGUUCCGACCUGCACGAAUGGCGUAAUGAUGGCCAGGCUGUCUCCACCCGAGACUCAGUGAAAUUGAACUCGCUGUGAAGAUGCAGUGUACCCGCGGCAAGACGGAAAGACCCCGUGAACCUUUACUAUAGCUUGACACUGAACCUUGAGCCUUGAUGUGUAGGAUAGGUGGGAGGCUUUGAAGCGUGGACGCCAGUCUGCGUGGAGCCAACCUUGAAAUACCACCCUUUAAUGUUUGAUGUUCUAACGUGGGCCCGUAAUCCGGGUUGCGGACAGUGUCUGGUGGGUAGUUUGACUGGGGCGGUCUCCUCCCAAAGCGUAACGGAGGAGCACGAAGGUUAGCUAAUCCUGGUCGGACAUCAGGAGGUUAGUGCAAAGGCAUAAGCUAGCUUGACUGCGAGAGUGACAGCUCGAGCAGGUGCGAAAGCAGGUCUUAGUGAUCCGGUGGUUCUGAAUGGAAGGGCCAUCGCUCAACGGAUAAAAGGUACUCCGGGGAUAACAGGCUGAUACCGCCCAAGAGUUCAUAUCGACGGCGGUGUUUGGCACCUCGAUGUCGGCUCAUCACAUCCUGGGGCUGAAGUAGGUCCCAAGGGUAUGGCUGUUCGCCAUUUAAAGUGGUACGCGAGCUGGGUUUAGAACGUCGUGAGACAGUUCGGUCCCUAUCUGCCGUGGGCGUUGGAAGAUUGAGAGGGGUUGCUCCUAGUACGAGAGGACCGGAGUGAACGCACCACUGGUGUACGGGUUGUGAUGCCAAUUGCAUUGCCCGGUAGCUAAGUGCGGAAGAGAUAACCGCUGAAAGCAUCUAAGCGGGAAACUUGCCUCGAGAUGAGUCUUCCCUGGGCACUAGAUGCCCCUGAAGGGCCGUUGAAGACGACGACGUAGAUAGGCUGGGUGUGUAAGCGUAGCGAUACGUUGAGCUAACCAGUACUAAUGACCCGAGAGGCUUAACCU